GAAAUGCGAUACUUGGUGUGAAUUGCAUAAUCCUGUGAACUAUCGAGUCUUUGAUCGCAAGUUCCACCCGAAGCCAUUAGGUUGAGGGCACAUCUGCCUGGGUGUCUCACGUUACAUCGCCCGUAUCCCCUCCCCCCGAAAGAAAGGGUUGCGGGUGGAUGUUAGCCUCCCACGCGGACCCACGUGUGGUCAGCCUAAAAAUGAGUCCUCGUGAGAGAUGAUGCAUCACGACAAGUGGUGAUUGACAAACUGUUGUGCCACCUCGUGCACGUUGAAGUCAUCACGGGAGGCCUGUUGUGACCCUAUCGCACCAUUGCCAAGGCACUCCAAUCGCGACCCCAUGUCAGGCGGGAUUACCCGCUGAGUUUAA
rnacentral:misc_RNA from 1 species